CGGCCUGCAGUCCGGAACCUCCUGAGACGGCCUGCAGUCCGGAACCUCCUGAGACGGCCUGCAGUCCGGAACCUCCUGAGACGGCCUACAGUCCGGAGUCUCCAGCGGCGGUCUGCAGUCCGGAGUCUCCAGCGGGGGUUUCCAGUUCAGAGCCUCCGGCGAUGAUUCACGGUCCGGUUCCUCUGGCGACGAUCCAUGGUCUGGUUAAACAAAAGCGGAGGGAUCAGCGGGCGGAGCGGGGGCUACGUCACGAACCGGAGCCGCCACCAAGGAUAGAUGCCCACCCGGACCCUCCCCUAUAGGUUCAGGUUUGCGGCCGGGAGUCCGCACCUCCCGGGGGUGUACUGUCACGCCCUGACCUUAGAGAGACGUUUUAUUUCCUCUAGUUUGGUUAGGUCAGGGUGUGAUGUGGGGUGGGCAAUCUAGUUUUUGUAUUUCUUUGUGUUUAGCUGAGUAUGGUUCCUAAUCAGAGGCUAUCGUUGUCUCCGAUUGGGAAUCAUACUUAAGUAAGUGGAAACUUUUUCUCUUUUAAUUCAGCUUUCUUCCCAUUUCUUGUGUUUUCAAAAACAAACCAGGUUGUAGUUUUAAAAUGCAAACCAACUGGAGGAGAUUAUUCAAAAAUGGUAUCUUAAAAUAAGUAACCAAAUCCCACUGGCCCAGGUAUUAUUUCAUCUGUAACCAAAUCCCACUGGCCCAGGUAUUGUUUCAUCUGUAACCAAAUCCCACUGGCCCAGGUAUUGUUUCAUCUGUAACCAAAUCCCACUGGCCCAGGUAGUUUAAUCUGUAACCAAAUCCCACUGGCCCAGGUAGUGUUUCAUCUGUAACCAAAUCCACUGGCCCAGGUAGUGUUUCAUCUGUAACCAAAUCCCACUGGCCCAGGUAGUGUUUCAUCUGUAACCAAAUCCCACUGGCCCAGGUACUGUUUCAUCUGUAACCAAAUCCCACUGGCCCAGGUACUGUUUCAUCUGUAACCAAAUCCACUGGCCCAGGUACUGUUUCAUCUGUAACCAAAUCCCACUGGCCCAGGUAGUGUUUCAUCUGUAACCAAAUCCCACUGGCCCAGGUAUUGUUUCAUCUGUCAACUAAUGACACUCAUUGCACUGUGCACCUGAGGCUAUGGCAGGUAGCCUACAUCUAGGUUACAAUAGUAGUCAACAGUUAGUAUGACACAUUACAUUACAGUGUGGCAGGUUAAAGCCUCAGGCUUAGUUUUAUUACUAGACGAGGUCCAUUAUCAGAUCUGACCCAUAUGAUUCAGUCAUUGAAACCCAUGUCACCUUCAAACACACACACAGCACUUCUUUAGUGGGUUUGAGGAGGGUCAGGGCUUGAUGUUUAAUGCGAGCUCAACGUCAGCUCCUUAGUUGGCCAAACUCUCUUUAUUAAUUGCUAUUGUUAGUAUAGUUUUUAUCUCACAAUCUCUAGUUCUCCUUGUCAAUUCAAGCCCCAUGUCAGAGUGGACCUCCCUGGUGCAUUCCAUCAGUCAAAGUUAUGUGUAUAGGGCUAUUCUUUCUGACACUUUCGUAUCCACCGUUCAUGCAGAAUGGCUCCAGCCGUAAGCUGUGUCCUAGUUGUAACAUCAAUAGGAGUAGCAUCAAAGAAGUGCAAGUUCUGUGGUGCAACAACACAGCUAAAGGUCAAGUUAGAGGCCCAAAAAAUGAAGGCUACAGAUGAAUGGGCAAAUAAGACAAUGAAACAUGGAAGAUAUGCAACCUUGGUUAAUGCAGCAAACAAGCUGGUAAGCUUUAUUAUGUUUUCCUCUAAAAAGAUUUCUGCAUUUCUAGCUUAGGGAUAUGAUAGGCCCUAUGCACUUAUUUGUUGUUGUCUCAUUGUGUCAUUUAAGACUGUAAAUCUAAAUGUCAUUAUUUGACUGAUAUUUGUUGUGUUUCUGGAAGUUAUUUUGUCAUUAAUGAUUCCAGGUACAUAGGUUCCACAAGGUAGGAGUGUACCCCCGCUACUCCUCAGCAAGAGGAAGAAGGAUAACAUUUUGUCGUCAACUGCACUGUGUCCUCCCAGUGGUAUGAUGAAUCAGACCUCAAUGGCACCAAUCCAAAGGUUGUAUGAGGCAAUUGUGAAAGUGGCAAUCAACACCCAUACCCCCACACUACAACCAUCCAACCCUCCUGCUGUUGCUGCCCAAGAACUGUCUGAUACAGUUGACCCCCAGGAGACCAGCUACACCUCCAUCCUCAACCAGGUUGAACCCCCGAUAUCCCCCACCACCCAGGAGACCAGCUUCACCCGGAUCCCCAACCAGGUUAAACCCCCAAUAACCCCCACCACCCAGGAGACCAGCUACACCCACACCAAACCAAAGAAGACGGAGAGAAAGUCCCGUCACCCUCAAAAACCCCUCCAACUCGCUGAGCAUGACACAGCCAACCCCAUCCAACCCCAUCCUACCCCAUCCAACUCCAUUCUACCCCAUCCAACCCCGACCAAGGAAGAGGAAAUAUGACUACAUGCAAAAAGAGUGUCCAGUGCAUCCGGGGCAAACGUUUUUCCCUAUUCUCAAGAUUCUUGCCAAUAGAACUUCAAAGGAGGUAAAUCUGCAGAACAUUGAAAUUCCUGUGACUGUAUUUACAGGCUAAUCCUAGUGCAACACCAAUUGUAGUUAACUUGCAGUGCAUAGACCUUGUAGUUAAAGUGGCAAUAUGUAACUUUCUGGGUGGCCCGACCAAAUUCACAUAGAAAUGUUAGCUACAGAUCAUCAUUCUACUUGAAAGCAAGUCUAAGAAGCAGUAUAUCUGUUCUACAGUGUGCCUUAUUUCUAUGCUUCCCGUUCUUAAGUUUUGUUAUUGAGUCUAUUACUUUGGUUUUGUACAACAGCUUCAAACAGCUGAUAUUAGCUACCAUGACAUUGCGGUGCGAUUUCUGCAUAGUGCAGCUUUAAAAUAAAACAGACAUUUCUAUUUGUUGCAUAAUAAAAGGUCAGGAGCAGAAAGUGAGGUGGAAGCCAUGCUCUGGAUUCUAUGUUUACUUCAACUAAUCUCCUAGAAUUAAUUGAGGAUAUACUGUAUACUCAACACCAUAUGUAUUUGGACAGUGAAGCUAAAAUGUACAAUUUGACUCUAAACUCCAGCAUUUUUUAUUUGAAAUCAAAUGUUUCAUAUGAGGCGAUAGUACAGAUCACCUUUUUACAAUUUAGAAAGGAAAUCACUUUAUGUAUAUAGUCCCACCAAUUUGAAGAAGCCAUAAGUAUUUAGACAAAUUCACUUAAAGCGUAUUAAAGUUAUAGUAAAUGAAAUAUUUUAUUUAAAAUACUAAAUUCUGGAGUAUAGAUCCAAAUUUCACAUUUUAGCUUCACUCUCCAAAUACAUAUGGUUUUGGCUGUACCUUGGUAUUGGAUGUUACAGUGCCUUGCAAAAGUAGUCAAACCCCUUGGAAACGCCUUUGACAGUGAUUACAGCUGGGAGUCUUCUUGGGUAAGUCUUUUAGAGUCAUUACAGCUGUGAGUCUUUUAGAGCUUAACACACCAGGAUUGUGCAAAAUUAGCCCAUUAUUCUUUUUAUAAUUCUUCAAGCUCUGUCAAUAUGUUGGGGAUCAUGUCUAGACAACAAUUUAAAAGUCUUGCAAUAGAUUUCCAAUCAGAUUUAAGUCCAAACUUGAACUUGGCAACUCAGGAACAUUCACUGUCUUCUUGGUAAACAACUCCAGUGUAGAUUUGUCAUUGUGUUUUAGGUUAUUGUACUGCUGAAAGCUGGAUUCCUCUCCGAGUGUCUGUGGCAAGAAAUGGGAUGAUGACUGGAUCAAGGCCGAGGACCGCGCUUCUCCAGUUUAACCUACUUUAUGCACAAAUGUAUUCUUCACUCUCGCUUCACAUGUAUCACUGUCAACCAUAAGUGGUUGGCCAAAUUCACCAUGAUUUACCAUUGAAACAUUCAUGGAGCAUCAGCAUGCCAACCAUUUGAUCUCAAUCAGUUUCAUGAGAAUAUGCAUUUAGAUAUUAUUCAUAUAAAGUGAGCUAUAAACGUAUUGCAACAGUGACACAUGUUUUGUUGUUUUGGAUCUGUACUCCAGAACUUUUUAUUUGAAAUUAUACAAUGACUAUGAGGUUAAAGUGCAGACUAUCAGCUUUAAUUUGAGUGUAUUUUCAUCCAUAUCUGGUGAACCGUUUAGAAAUUACAGCACAUUUUGUACUAGCCCCCCCCCCCCAUUUUGGGGGACCAAAAGUAUUGUGAUAAAUUCACUUAUGUGUAUUAAAGUAGUCAGAAGUUGAGUAUUUUUGUCUUUUAUGUUUGUAAUGAUUCAUUUUACUAUGUUAUUAAAUAUAUACGUUUAAUUUCACUCUCAUUUUUUACCUUUAGUCUGCCUAUUUCUAUAACCCAAUGCACAUAGCUGAUUAUCUU
rnacentral:lncRNA from 1 species